CCAUGCAUGUCUAAGUAUAAACAACUCUAUACUGUGAAACUGCGAAUGGCUCAUUAAAUCAGUUAUAGUUUAUUUGAUGGUACCUUACUACAUGGAUAACUGUGGUAAUUCUAGAGCUAAUACAUGCUGAAAAGCCCCGACUUCUGGAAGGGGUGUAUUUAUUAGAUAAAAAACCAAUGGCGGGUAACCGUCUUGCGUUGAUUCAUAAUAACUGCUCGAAUCGCAUGGCCUUGCGCCGGCGAUGCUUCAUUCAAAUAUCUGCCCUAUCAACUUUCGAUGGGAGGGAUAGAGGCCUACCAUGGUGAUGACGGGUAACGGGGAAUAAGGGUUCGAUUCCGGAGAGAGGGCCUGAGAAACGGCCCUCAGUCCUAAGGGACGCAGCAGGCGCGCAAAUUAUCCCAUCCCGACACGGGGAGAUAGUGACAAUAAAUAACAAUAUAGGGCUCUUUUGGGUCCUAUAAUUGGAAUGAGUACAAUUUAAAUCCCUUAACGAGGAUCAAUUGGAGGGCAAGUCUGGUGCCAGCAGCCGCGGUAAUUCCAGCUCCAAUAGCGUAUAUUAAAGUUGUUGCCGUUAAAAAGCUCGUAGUCGAACUUCGGCCUCUGCCGCCCGGUCCGCCUAAUUGGGUGUGUACUGGAGCGGUGGAGGCUUACCUCGUGGUGAACGGCCAUGCCCUUUACUGGGUGUGGUCGGGAACCAUGACUUUUACUGUGAAAAA
rnacentral:rRNA from 1 species